UACGUAGGGGGCAAGCGUUGUCCGGAUUUAUUGGGCGUAAAGAGCGUGUAGGCGGCCUGAAAGGUCAGCUGUGAAAACUCGAGGCUCAACCUCGAGACGUCGGUUGAAACCAUCUGGCUAGAGUCCGGAAGAGGAGUGUGGAAUUCCCGGUGUAGCGGUGAAAUGCGCAGAUAUCGGGAAGAACACCAGUGGCGAAGGCGGCACUCUGGGACGGUACUGACGCUGAGACGCGAAAGCGUGGGGAGCGAACAGG
rnacentral:rRNA from 1 species